rnacentral:rRNA from 1 species
UACGGAGGGUGCAAGCGUCAUCCGGAUUCACUGGGUUUAAAGGGUGUGUAGGCGGGUAUUUAAGUCAGUGGUGAAAUCCUACAGCUUAACUGUAGAACUGCCAUUGAUACUAUUUAUCUUGAAUAUUGUUGAGGUAGGCGGAAUACAUCAUGUAGCGGUGAAAUGCUUAGAUAUGAUGUAGAACACCGAUUGCGAAGGCAGCUUACUAAGCAAAUAUUGACGCUGAGGCACGAAAGCGUGGGGAUCAAACAGG